rnacentral:misc_RNA from 1 species
GAUGAAGAACGUAGCGAAAUGCGAUAAGUAAUGUGAAUUGCAGAAUUCAGUGAAUCAUCGAAUCUUUGAACGCACAUUGCGCCCCCUGGUAUUCCGGGGGGCAUGCCUGUUCGGGCGUCAUUUCACCACUCAAGCCUCGCUUGGUAUUGGGCAACGCGGUCCGCCGCGUGCCUCAAAUCGACCGGCUGGGUCUUCUGUCCCCUAAGCGUUGUGGAAACUAUUCGCUAAAGGGUGUUCGGGAGGCUACGCCGUAAAACAACCCCAUUUCUAAGGUUGACCUCGGAUCAGGUAGGGAUACCCGCUGAACUUAAGCAUAUCAAUAAGCGGAGGA